GAUCAUUACUGAGUUUACGCUCUACAACCCUUUGUGAACAUACCUAUAACUGUUGCUUCGGCGGGCAGGGUCUCCGUGACCCUCCCGGCCUCCCGCCCCCGGGCGGGUCGGCGCCCGCCGGAGGAUAACCAAACUCUGAUUUAACGACGUUUCUUCUGAGUGGUACAAGCAAAUAAUCAAAACUUUUAACAACGGAUCUCUUGGUUCUGGCAUCGAUGAAGAACGCAGCGAAAUGCGAUAAGUAAUGUGAAUUGCAGAAUUCAGUGAAUCAUCGAAUCUUUGAACGCACAUUGCGCCCGCCAGCAUUCUGGCGGGCAUGCCUGUUCGAGCGUCAUUUCAACCCUCAAGCUCUGCUUGGUGUUGGGGCCCUACGGCUGACGUAGGCCCUCAAAGGUAGUGGCGGACCCUCCCGGAGCCUCCUUUGCGUAGUAACUUUACGUCUCGCACUGGGAUCCGGAGGGACUCUUGCCGUAAAACCCCCAAUUUUCCAAAGGUUGACCUCGGAUCAGGUAGGGAUACCCGCUGAACUUAAGCAUAUCAAUA
rnacentral:rRNA from 1 species